CUUGUCUUGAAGGCUGAUGAUUUCUGCUCUGAAAUUCAGUUCCGUUUUUGGCAGUGCUAUGGGCAGGGAGUCUAGCUUCGUGCGUUGCCUCUGAACUGCUGCACGGUGAGCUGCACGAGGCAGAUUUCGAGUUGCAUCAGGCGGUGGUGGAUGGGAGGUCGAAGAGGGGCCGCCGGUGUUGUUGUGCGAGGAGGUGCGCCGAUGCUCUGUAUUCGAGCGUAUCAUCUAAAGCACAGGAAGUUCAGUUUUGCACCGUGCGCGGUUCACCAGUGUCAAAAGAUUGGGGUGUGGCGGUUUCGAUGGCGCUGCCAGGGUUAAAGACGUGCACGCCUGACACAGCAGGACACUACUGAAUCAGCUUUAAUGGAGCUUCUUUGAGUUGAGCAGAGCUUGCAACCGAUAGCGUCGUCCAGAGCCUGUCCUGAGGUCACUCAACUUGCCAGCGGUGCGCCGCUAUCGGAGGACUCCAGUGCUGCUGCUGCUGCGGUUCAUCCGGUGAACCACAUGCUUCCAAUUUUGUUCAUUUGAACUGUCAGGUUAGGCAGUGGGGUGUGCUCCCAUGGCUGCUAGCUUCUGGCCUCUCCGGUCGAGCAAGCAUCAGCUUUCGGCUAGCGGGCAACAAACAACAGUACGGUUAACAUAUAGCAACAACACAGUUCAGUUAAUUACAAAACACAACUACAUGUCAAGCAGCUAUUCUCCUUUUGUUUUGAUUGAUAGCUCUAUGUAGAGACACCACUUUUUGUAGAAGUUGUCAAAAAGUCAUCAUUUGCAGUACACUUCUAUAGGUUAGAGUUAUUCACUCAUUAGGCCCAAGAAGGUAUGCUACCUUGUAAAUAAAUAAAAAUGAAAUGACAGUCCAAAUAAUUAAAAAGUUAUAUCUUGCCACUGAAGUUCACUUUGUAAACUAGCAAAAGUUCACCACAAGGCGGUGCAGCUGCUGUACCUUCUUAAUGCUAUUAUUAACAUUGAUAAUCGCUGAAGUGUUGUUGAUGCUUAGUUGGGUUCUCACUGAUGUUGAUUGUAUUCUAUUUUACAGAGAAACUAAUAGAAUGUAUUUGUCGAAGUGCACAUUGGUGAAAAUAGGAAAUUCAUUGUAUAGAAAAAAUAUAAGUGCGCUUCACUUUCUUGUCUUCUCUUUUUGUGCAGGCGGGCAAUGCUCUGAGGCUGUAUAAUAAUUUCAUCUUUGAUUUCGAGACCAAGAUCAACCUUCCUGAAAUUGCUCACUAAAUAGUAGUAGGUUCACGCCAGUAUUCACAGAAAAAAGAGAAAUAGCCGCUGGUGCCGAGUGAGGGAGUUUGCUUCUAUUUUGUCGAGUUCACUUUGUAUAACAGCAGAAGUCUAGUCUGUAAAGUUCUUUUUCUUGUUUAUUCAUUUCCGUGUAAAUGGUAGUAGUUUCACGACAGUAUUCACAGAAAAAAAGAGAAAUAGCCGCUGGUGCCGAGUGAGCGAGUUUGCUUCU